UACGGGGGGGGCAAGCGUUGUUCGGAAUUACUGGGCGUAAAGGGCUCGUAGGCGGCCAACUAAGUCAGACGUGAAAUCCCUCGGCUUAACCGGGGAACUGCGUCUGAUACUGGAUGGCUUGAGAUUGGGAGAGGGAUGCGGAAUUCCAGGUGUAGCGGUGAAAUGCGUAGAUAUCGGGAGGAACACCAGUGGCGAAGGCGGCUUUCUGGCCUGUUCUUGACGCUGAGGCGCGAAAGCUAGGGUAGCAAACGGG
rnacentral:rRNA from 1 species